CAACAUUUUGUACUUAUAGAAGCAGAAAGCUUCAUAGGCAGUAGAUGUGGGGAACAACUAAAUUAAACGGCCGCAUUUUAGCUGGUGGCCUUUGACUGAGUUGUCAAGAGAGAGAUUUCGAACAUAUUUUACCCAUGUGGAUGUUCAUAGUUGCUGCAACAAGGAACACGAAGAGCGCUCUACCCAAGUGACGUCACACUACCAGUAUGGACAAAGAUGAGUUUAUAAGGGUUCCUUUUAAAGAAUUCAAGGAAGACAUUGGUGAAUGAGGCCCAUUGCUCUGUGAAAAGGCUUCUUAUACUACAGCCAGAUCUUCACUCUGAGGCUCAGAAAUCAACCCCAUUGACUUAAAUGGUGGUGGACAUGAAGUGAGUCCAUGAGGGAGGAAAUGACUGUGUCCUUCAUCUGUUUCACUCUAUACUCCUGUCACAAUGACCUAUGCCACCAGAGGUCGCUGUCUGUCAAUUACAGGACAAAAAAAUAUACACUAUUAUGGACAAAAGUGUUUGGCCACUUGACCAUUUUACUUACUGGGAGAGUAAUGACAUUGUAUUCAAAUACAUGCACUUUAAUUAAGA